UAACAACACCCCCCAUCUCCAGAUAAGAAAGUUUUAUACUGUCCGGAAAAGGCGGGAAAGCGUCACCUGACCAUUUGGUAUCUAUGUGUAUUGGAGAGUCACUGCCCUGUGUGCAUGACUGUUUGUUGUUGGUCUC